UACAGAGACCUCAAGCGUUAUCCGGAAUCAUUGGGCGUAAAGCGUACCGAUAGGUGGUUUUACAAGUCAGGGGUGAAAUCUCAAGGCUCAACUUUGAGACUGUCUCUUGAAACUGUAAAACUAGAGGGGUAAAGAGGAAGCUGGAACGAACGGUGUAGUAGUGAAAUGCGUUGAUAUCGUUCGGAACACCGAUAGCGAAGGGAGGCUUCUGGGUACCACCUGACACUGCUAGGACGAAAGCGUGGGGAGCGAAUGGG
rnacentral:rRNA from 1 species